rnacentral:tRNA from 1 species
UAGAUUGAAGCCCGCUGGAUUGGGUGUUUAGCUGUUAAUUAAACGUUGCGGGAUCAAGGCCCGCCGAUCUAGUAG